rnacentral:rRNA from 1 species
GUCGAGAAUCUUUCACAAUGGGGGCAACCCUGAUGGAGCGACGCCGCGUGGAGGAUAAGGUCUUCGGAUUGUAAACUCCUGUCAUGCGUGAACAAGGUUGCUUGGAUAAUACCUGAGCAAAUUGAUGGUAGCGCAAGAGGAAGAGACGGCUAACUCUGUGCCAGCAGCCGCGGUAAUACAGAGGUCUCAAGCGUUGUUCGGAAUCACUGGGCGUAAAGGGUGCGUAGGUGGCGUGGCAAGUCAGAUGUGAAAGCCCGGGGCUCAACCUCGGAACUGCAUCCGAUACUGCCAUGCUAGAGUACUGGAGGGGUGACAAGAAUUCUCGGUGUAGCAGUGAAAUGCGUAGAUAUCGAGAGGAAUACCAAAGGCGUAGGCAGGUCACUGGACAGUUACUGACACUGAGGCACGAAGGCCAGGGGAGCGAACGGGAUUAGAAACCCUGGUAGUCC